ensembl:snoRNA LOC120097617 small nucleolar RNA SNORA17
CCUGCCCCAGAGGUGUUGCAGGUGUAGCUAUUGUGACACAUGUGUGUCCGGGGGUGGCAGAGAGGAGAAAAGCUAUGUCUAUGUUCGGUCUUCUGAUGUGUAAAUAAUGGUUAGUAUCCUAACAUU